GCGACGGAUCGCGCCGCGACAAUUUGCUAUUAUGACAUUCCGGUAUCGUGUCCGUCGCGAAACGAACCAACGAACGAACGAACGAACGAUCGAUCGAGGAGACAAGACAUAGUAACUAAUCUCGCUGAUCGAUUCACGGUUGCCAAGUGACUGUUACCUAAACACGAUCCUCCUCGGUGCGUGACCUAGGCCUCGGCUUUCUUUGAUCACGGAUAAACAUAGGAGGAGCUCUGUUGACAUUUCGCCUAAAUGGCCGAACGGCUCUCAACCGUCCCCAGUCGUCGUCGCGGGUAGUACAAGAUGGCAACCGGCUAGGACAGGGUGCCGCUUCGUGGUCUGGAAGGGUGCCUCCGUCGUGUACGCCUGUGUACAGACGUGUCCGAGUGCUACCAAAUGCUAUUUGCACGGUUGUUCCCUCGGCGGCGACGCUUUCCGCCGAGAGCUUCAAACGUUUACUUUGGGGAAUCAUUGAUUUUCGCGACCUUCGCGCGGAAUCUUCAAGGUCGACGUCCUCGGGCCGUACACAUUACGCGCGACGACAACGGUGGAGUGUCGCAAGGAAUCAUUCGAUGACAGAUAUUCUCUCGUGGAACAUUUAUUCGGACGAUAUUCUCUUCUUGCGAAUGAAUUGUGAUACUCGAUUCGGCGAUCGUUGAACUGAAACAAUGUUAAGCGUUGGAACGAAAGUGUUCCAAUGAAAUGUUCCAGUGGAGAUUAUUGUAGCAUUGUUUAUUUAUUCGAUUCGAUUGGUCACCCUAAAAUUAUAAUAUCGAACGGAGUCAACGAGGAUCGAUGCAGCCAAUUUAAUAUUCAACCAUAACCGGAGCUGCCAUUUCGUCCGACCACUUUAUGCAAUGUUUAUCCUUUAACACUGUUUGCGGCUUCAUUAAUCCUAAUUGCAGUCAACAUCGCCGAAUUGCAAGCGAAAUUACAGUGUACACCUGAAAUCAAUGGAUUCAACAUAAAUGGUA